GACGAACGCUGGCGGCGUGCUUAACACAUGCAAGUCGAACGGAAAGGCCCCUUUGGGGGUACUCGAGUGGCGAACGGGUGAGUAACACGUGAGUAACCUGCCCUUGACUUCGGGAUAACUUCAGGAAACUGGGGCUAAUACCGGAUAGGAAUCCUUGCUGCAUGGUGGGGGUUGGAAAGCUUCGGCGGUUUUGGAUGGACUCGCGGCUUAUCAGCUUGUUGGUGGGGUAGUGGCUUACCAAGGCUUUGACGGGUAGCCGGCCUGAGAGGGCGACCGGCCACAUUGGGACUGAGAUACGGCCCAGACUCCUACGGGAGGCAGCAGUGGGGAAUAUUGCACAAUGGGCGGAAGCCUGAUGCAGCAACGCCGCGUGCGGGAUGACGGCCUUCGGGUUGUAAACCGCUUUCAGCAGGGGCGAAGCUUUUGUGACGGUACCUGCAGAAGAAGCACCGGCUAACUACGU
rnacentral:rRNA from 1 species